CCUACGGGCGGCAGCAGUGGGGAAUAUUGGACAAUGGGGGGAACCCUGAUCCAGCCAUGCCGCGUGUGUGAAGAAGGCCCCCGGGUUGUAAAGCACUUUCAGUGAGGAAGAACGCCUGGUGGUUAAUACCCAUCAGGAAAGACAUCACUCACAGAAGAAGCACCGGCUAACUCCGUGCCAGCAGCCGCGGUAAUACGGAGGGUGCGAGCGUUAAUCGGAAUUACUGGGCGUAAAGCGCGCGUAGGUGGCUUGAUAAGCCGGUUGUGAAAGCCCCGGGCUCAACCUGGGAACGGCAUCCGGAACUGUCAAGCUAGAGUGCAGGAGAGGAAGGUAGAAUUCCCGGUGUAGCGGUGAAAUGCGUAGAGAUCGGGAGGAAUACCAGUGGCGAAGGCGGCCUUCUGGACUGACACUGACACUGAGGUGCGAAAGCGUGGGUAGCAAACAGGAUUAGAUACCCCUGUAGUC
rnacentral:rRNA from 1 species